UUGCUAUGUGAAAGACUGCAGGAUUCGAGGGAAAUUACACAAACGGUAACUGCUCCGGAAAGAGGACCUGCGCUACUUCCCUUUACCAAGCAGGUUUUGAUGAACAACUCAAUAUGGACAGGACGGAACAUCGCAGCACGGCUGUACGUUCAUACAAGGUGAAGAAAGAAGACAACAAAGAACAUUUCUAAACGGCACUCGUAUUUCAUUAAAUUUUGUUUAAAAUGUA